CCUACGGGAGGCAGCAGUGAGGAAUAUUGGACAAUGGGCGCAAGCCUGAUCCAGCCAUGCCGCGUGCAGGAAGACGGUCCUAUGGAUUGUAAACUGCUUUUGUACAGGAAGAAACACUCCCUCGUGAGGGAGCUUGACGGUACUGUAAGAAUAAGGAUCGGCUAACUCCGUGCCAGCAGCCGCGGUAAUACGGAGGAUCCAAGCGUUAUCCGGAAUCAUUGGGUUUAAAGGGUCCGUAGGCGGUUUAAUAAGUCAGUGGUGAAAUCUGGUCGCUCAACGAUCAAACGGCCAUUGAUACUGUUAGACUUGAAUUAUUAGGAAGUAACUAGAAUAUGUAGUGUAGCGGUGAAAUGCUUAGAUAUUACAUGGAAUACCAAUUGCGAAGGCAGGUUACUACUAAUGGAUUGACGCUGAUGGACGAAAGCGUGGGGAGCGAACAGGAUUAGAUACCCUGGUAGUCCACGCCGUAAACGAUGGAUACUAGCUGUUCGGAGNAUNUNAGUGNGUAGAGAAGAGAGUAGUAGUACCGACCGCGGAGGUACGUUCGUCGAGAAGAGUAAGUUACGAAUAGAAGUUAGAGGCGNGAGAGNGCGACGGACGACGACGAGGGAGGAGG
rnacentral:rRNA from 1 species